GGGCUCGUAGCUCAGCUGGGAGAGCGCUGCGUUCGCAUCGCAGAGGUCGAGGGUUCGAUCCCCUUCGAGUCCA
rfam:Firmicutes bacterium ASF500 genomic scaffold adhIg-supercont1.2, whole genome shotgun sequence.